rnacentral:rRNA from 1 species
CCUACGGGAGGCAGCAGUGAGGAAUAUUGGUCAAUGGACGAGAGUCUGAACCAGCCAAGUAGCGUGAAGGAUGACUGCCCUAUGGGUUGUAAACUUCUUUUAUAUGGGAAUAAAAUGUUCCACGUGUGGGAUUUUGUAUGUACCAUAUGAAUAAGGAUCGGCUAACUCCGUGCCAGCAGCCGCGGUAAUACGGAGGAUCCGAGCGUUAUCCGGAUUUAUUGGGUUUAAAGGGAGCGUAGGUGGAUUGUUAAGUCAGUUGUGAAAGUUUGCGGCUCAACCGUAAAAUUGCAGUUGAAACUGGCAGUCUUGAGUACAGUAGAGGUGGGCGGAAUUCGUGGUGUAGCGGUGAAAUGCUUAGAUAUCACGAAGAACUCCGAUCGCGAAGGCAGUUCACUGGACUGCAACUGACACUGAGGCUCGAAAGUGUGGGUAUCAAACAGGAUUAGAUACCCGAGUAGUC